UCGUUUGAGAUUAUACAUGGAUGUUUUUAUAUUUUCUUUCGGAUAGGUAAGUAAAUAAUUACGAUAAAAUACAAACUGUAGAAUCCUGAUUGGAUGCACCCAAUCUAGGCCCAAAAAUCGUGAACACUUAGUGAAGGUAGACUAAACGUCAGAUUGAGUAUGUUCAGUAAUUUGUUAACUGUGUAUCUGUAUCAUAUACAAAAAUCUGAUAAGGCAGAACCUGGACAGCUGCCCAGCCUUAAUAUGCUUAGCAGGUAGACAUUAUGGCUUUGGUGGAUGAUCAGCGGCCCUAGAUUGUUCAAUUGCCUCUCCCUCUGCUGGAGGAGGAGCGUCAGUCGAGGUAGCUCCCUUGCACCACAGUUGCACCUCCAUCACCAUGGCAAAACUGGUGCCUGGCCUUGAUGCCAUGCAGACCGGCAGAUUGGCUGACCACCACAAAUGCAGCUCUUGCUCCUUCACUGUUUGUCAUGCCUGACUUCAGACCUUGUUGCAUGGGCAUCAGCCACAGAUUGUUUGGUUGCCUUUCACUCUGCAGUAGGGAUCACCAACAGAGGCAACCCCCUUGCCACCACAGCUGCACUGCCAUCACCAUGAUGAGAAUUGGUGCUGUGUCUAGGUGCAUGAAGUUUUUUUUAGCUUUAGGUCACUUGCUUGCCUCUCAUUCCACAAAAGGAAUAAUCACCAAUGAGGGUAGCUCACUUGUCACCACAGCUGUGACUCCAUCUCCAUGACUUCAAUAGGGAGAUUGCUGGGAGUUUACUCUCAGCGGUAGGCCCCAUUGUCAGGGCAGCUGAGUAAAUGGCCACCCCAAGUGUAUCUCCUUCUCCUUCCCUGCUUGCCACACCACACCUAGCGUGGACCUUGGUGUAUGAGGCCAUCAGCUUCAGGUCACUUGUUUGCCAUUCUCUCCAUUGAGGAGUUGUCACCAAUGGAGGCAGCUCACUUGCCACCAUAGUUGUGUCACCAUCACCAUGGCUUUGAUAGGGAGGUCAUCGAGAGUUGUCGCCGGAAGUUGCACUAAUGGGAGCUAUUGCUUCUGGUCUAGGACUGCCACCAUUUGCCUUCCUAUGCAUGCCAACUUUGUUUUGCCAAUUGUUUCAAAAUCCGAAUUACAAAUUUGAAUUCAAAUUUCAGAAGCUGCCAACAAGCCAACACCAUUUGAAACUGGGGUUUCACCAUCAUUUGGUUUCCAUCAGGAUUUGAUGCAUGACAGCACCAAUUUAAAAUUCAAAUCUUCGCUACCAAUCACAUGUGCCGCGCACAUGACCCCUUCCACUGGUCGAAGAUGAGCAGGUGGUUCACCAUCCCUAGCCCCUGUAGCUCCUGUCAGUCACAACGUGGUAUGCUUAAGUAGCAACCCAAAGUUGCUCUCAUCCAGCGCUUUCCAUCAUCGAGCAGUAGUAGACGAUGAGAGGUGUUCCCUAUGCUCCUCAGCAAUCAGAGAUAUUCCAAUUUGCUUCCAAACUUCCAAUAUUAGCCCGACUGUAGCUUCCAUUACCGAGCAGCAGCAAGCCAUGAAACAAUGGGAGCUAUUGCUUCUGGUCUAGGACUGCCACCAUUUGCCUUCCUAUGCAUGCCAACUUUGUUUUGCCAAUUGUUUCAAAAUCCGAAUUACAAAUUUGAAUUCAAAUUUCAGAAGCUGCCAACAAGCCAACACCAUUUGAAACUGGGGUUUCACCAUCAUUUGGUUUCCAUCAGGAUUCGAUGCAUGACAGCACCAAUUUAAAAUUCAAAUCUUCGCUACCAAUCACAUGUGCCGCGCACAUGACCCCUUCCACUGGUCGAAGAUGAGCAGGUGGUUCACCAUCCCUAGCCCCUGUAGCUCCUGUCAGUCACAACGUGGUAUGCUUAAGUAGCAACCCAAAGUUGCUCUCAUCCAGCGCUUUCCAUCAUCGAGCAGUAGUAGACGAUGAGAGGUGUUCCCUAUGCUCCUCAGCAAUCAGAGAUAUUCCAAUUUGCUUCCAAACUUCCAAUAUUAGCCCGACUGUAGCUUCCAUUACCGAGCAGCAGCAAGCCAUGAAACAAGUGCACCGUGCUUCUCGGCCUUUCAAUAGCACUUUCUAGGGAAGAAAGAAUUCCACCUACUUGCCUGUUAGUCUAAUAGUAACAACAAUCCUACAACUGCCAUCACAACGACAUCACACAUGAUACCUCAACCUUGAACUAUUCCAUUGCCGCUGACUCAACAACGGCAAUGGUGUCAUCACUGAGCAAUAGCAAGCCAUUAGGCAUGCACCACAUGCUCCCUAGCCUUCCAACAACCCUCACAAGGUACAAGGAGGUGCUCCACUAUCUUGUCUAGCAUAUCAACAUCAUUUUCCUUCCGUCAACUUGGGAUCCCUCCGCCACUAUCUAAAUAGUAUCAAUGGUGCCGCUUGUUUGUCCAGUGGCGGUGGUGUCCCCUAUACAUGCUCUGCACUCUUACAUAUAUGGUAACAGUCUAAAGAGCCCCUAGUUCAUUCCCAUCACCUUCUAGAGAGAAGGAAGAGCAUCUCUCUCUAAAUAGGAGUACUGAGAACACUUGGAUGUUUUUAUAUUUUUUUUAUAUACAACAUUGCUUUAUAAAAUAACUACUCGUUUUAUACUUUAUAGUCUUAUAGUGCUUCCUUUGCACUAGUCUGUCUUGAUAAGGCAAGACCUUUCAAGGCUCCUACUUUUAGUUUGGUAGCAAUGUAGCAUCGAAUUGUAUUUCUUCAUAUGAACGAAACAUAAGAACAUAAGCUAGAUAAAAGGAUUCAAGUCUUUUUAGCCGUUUGUUGUUUUCUAGAACAUGAAGGGGAGCCUUGGCGCAACGGUAAAGUUAUUGCCAUGUGACCAAAAGGUCAUGGGUUCGAAUCCUGGAAACAGCCUUUUGCAAAAAGUAUGAUAAGGCUGCCUACAAUGGAUCCUUCUCCAGGACCCCGCAUGGCGGGAGCUUCGUGCACCGGGCUGUCCUUUUUUUGUUGUUUUCUAGAACAUGAACUUUUGAAAUAUAAAACUGGUCUAAUGAAUAAUAGUUUUACUGGAGUACAGAUAAGAACUUAUGCAAUUUAAUUUGAUCCAAAUUCUUGGGAUUUGCAAAUUUGCUAGAAGCUCAAGUUUUGUUUACCUUUGAAAAGACUGAUGUAGGUCUGCAAAAUGUAGUUGCAUGUUUUCUCUUUAAUUGAAGGAUAAUUUAAUUGAAACAACUCGUGGCCUUGACAAGUCUAAUGUACUCUAUAAUCUGCAAUUGAUGACGAAGAAUUUGAUGUUUAGCUGAAUGAACGACACUUCAUGUUUGUUUCGUUAAUUGGAUUUGAAAUCAUAAGUAAACAUUGAGAAUAUCAAAUAUGAGUGUUUCAGAUUUACAUGCAUGUUGGGUGGAAUUGAAUGAUAUUGUUCAUUAACAUGUUAGUUGUGUGUAUUCUCCUCCUAGCUCCUUUGUAUUUUCUAUCAAUAUUAUCAUAGUAGUUAUAUGUUUAUAGUUUGAAGUAAUCUUUUUGUUAAGGUGGAUAGUUUUUCUCAGGUUUUUUAUCCUAAGAAAACAUUAUCUUGAAAUGUUUCUGUUAACUUGUAGCAGUUAACGAUUCUAUGGAUCAUGUGUGGUAGAAAAAAUCUUUUUGAUACCCAAACUCUAUUUCCUAUGUUAUAUCAUCUAUAUUUAUUUUUUCGAGGAAACUUUAUGAUAUCCUCAUUAAAUGGUCUUCCCAUUUAUCUAAUGUUGUCUCUGUUAAAAAUGUCUGCAUUAAAUUCAGAACCAAUCUUCAUCUCCACGUUUGUUGUUGAUUCCUUCAUUCUCUAGAUACUUGUUGAAGAAAAGAUGAUGGGUUCUGUUUCCUGAGCAUGAACUUUACACCAAAUAAAAUUUUGUAUCCUACAAGCCAAAACAUGACUUUUAGGUUUCAUGGAUUAACGUCUCUUUGGUGGAUAAUCAUUGUAAUGGACUAGUACUGGGUCAGAACCAAAUUCUUCUGCAUACUGAAGUUGGCUUGAGCGGAAAGUUGAUUAUGUUUUUCACCUUGUCUGCCAUCAUUUUUUGCUUCUUUUUUGCACCAUCGUGAUACAGACACUUUACUUUCAACGUAUAAAUACUAGUUCUAUAAAUUGCUGAUUGAUAA